rnacentral:rRNA from 1 species
UACGUAGGGGGCUAGCGUUGCUCGGAAUUACUGGGCGUAAAGCGCUCGUAGGCGGCCUGUUGAGUCAGGGGUGAAAUCCCGGGGCUCAACCCCGGAACUGCCUUUGAUACUGGGUAUCUCGAGUCCGAGAGAGGUGAGUGGAAUUCCGAGUGUAGAGGUGAAAUUCGUAGAUAUUCGGAGGAACACCAGUGGCGAAGGCGGCUCACUGGCGCGGUACUGACGCUGAGGUGCGAAAGCGUGGGGAGCAAACAGG